UUUUUGUUGUUAUGAUUUUUAAAACCCCCUUAAACCAUGCAUUAAACAUGCGGGUACGGCUAGCGAUUUCCUUUAUAUGUAAGUGGAAACGAUGAAAACUGUUAACAAACCUAUCAAUCCAUUUCAAAGGAUAUCUAAAACCGUACCUGAAAAGGAUGCUGGUUUGAAUGUGUGGGCUCAAUACAGCUUUAAUGAAGAAGGAAACAGAUACUAGCAGGUGGCAAUGCUGUAUCAACCAUUUCUCGGAUGUGAGGUAACAGUUGCAGAUGGACCAUAUUGACUUCCCUCUAUAGAGCCGUCUGGGCCUGGGGAAGAGAGCUGCUUGUCAGAUGGGGGGACCACAUCAGAUGGGCUCCCGUGGUUAUGGAGCCAAACGCUUCGACGAGAGAGGGAAGAGGCUGCCUGCCUGGCAGCCACGGAAACAGCAGGGACUCCCACAUAUCAUGGAAUUGGUCCAUGGUUUGGUCUCCUUCUCUGACUGCAGAGCAGGGGAGGGAUGUAGAAGACUGAGCGAAAGGCCUUCCUCUCUGAAGACCAUAGCAGACGUUUACAUUUAAGGGAAAUGCCUACUCAUAUGUGGCCUGCUAGGUGGGACAGUUUAGUCAGCCUUUGUACAUAACCUGGUCCCCUCCUUGUGGGUAGAGGUGUCAUAUUUGACAAGUGUAUAUGUGGAUGUGGAAGGGUGGGUGUCGGUGAUAAGAAAUUACGAACAGCAGUGAGCAGGCAUAUCCAAGUCACAUGGUGCAGCGAAGGAGCCUGCCUGUAUUUGUUCCUUAUGAUCGUCUGUCGAGUGUUUAUGUGUCCUUCUGUGCUGGCGGGUCAGAUAUGGUGGAGGUCUAGACACAUGGACCAAACAUUCUGUCUCACAGGGGAGCGCUUGUUUCGAGGUUCAUCUGAUGGUUGCGGACCUUGAUAGAACACA